rnacentral:rRNA from 1 species
AUUGAACGCUGGCGGCAGGUCUAACACAUGCAUGUCGGGCGACUGGCGGACGGGUGAGUAAUGCAUGGGGAUCCGCCCGACGGAGGGGAACAACUCCUGGUAACUGUAGCUUCUACCGCAUACCUUCAGACGCACCCAUAUGGGAUUAGCUUGUGGGUGAGGUAACGGCUCACCUAGGCGACGAUCCCUAGCUGGUCUGAGAGGAUGAUCAGCCACACUGGGACUGAGACACGGCCCAGACUCCUACGGGAGGCAGCAGUGGGGAAUAUUGCACAAUGGGCGCAAGCCUGAUGCAGCCAUGCCGCGUGUAUGAAGAAGGCCUUCGGGUUGUAAAGUACUUUCAGUCGGGAGGCGUUACCGACAGAAGAAGCACCGGCUAACUCCGUGCCAGCAGCCGCGGUAAUAC